rnacentral:rRNA from 1 species
AUUGACCUCGGAUCAGGUAGGGAUACCCGCUGAACUUAAGCAUAUCAAUAAGCGGAGGAAAAGAAACCAACAGGGAUUGCCUCAGUAACGGCGAGUGAAGCGGCAACAGCUCAAAUUUGAAAUCUGGCCCUUUCGGGGUCCGAGUUGUAAUUUGUAGAGAGUGCUUCGGGUGAGACCGCGGUCUAAGUGCCAUUGGAACAUGGCGUCAUAGAGGGUGAGAAUCCCGUAUGUGACUGCGGAUCAAGCCCAUGUGAAGCCUCUUCGACGAGUCGAGUUGUUUGGGAAUGCAGCUCAAAAUGGGUGGUAAAUUUCAUCUAAAGCUAAAUACUGGCUGGAGACCGAUAGCGCACAAGUAGAGUGAUCGAAAGAUGAAAAGCACUUUGGAAAGAGAGUCAAACAGUACGUGAAAUUGUUGAAAGGGAAGCGCUUGCAACCAGACCUGCCCGUAGGCGAUCAGCCGCUGUUUUCAGCGGUGCACUCGCUCUGCGAUCAGGCCAGCAUCGGUUUCGGCGGCCGGAUAAAGGCCCUGGGAAUGUAGCUUCCUCCGGGGAGUCUUAUAGCCCUCGGUGCAAUGCGGCCAGCCGGGACCGAGGACCGCGCUUCGGCUAGGAUGCUGGCGUAAUGGUUGUAAGCGACCCGUCUUGAAACACGGACCAAGGAGUCUAACAUCUAUGCGAGUGUUUGGGUGUCAAACCCAUGCGCGGAAUGAAAGUGAACGGAGGUGAGAACCCUUAAGGGCGCAUCAUCGACCGAUCCAGAUGUCUUCGGAUGGAUUUGAGUAUGAGCAUAGCUGUUGGGACCCGAAAGAUGAUGAACUAUACUUGAAUAGGGUGAAGCCAGAGGAAACUCUGGUGGAGGCUCGCAGCGGUUCUGACGUGCAAAUCGAUCGUCAAAUUUGGGUAUA